GCGAGGUGGGAGACUCACCGCAAGGAGGAAGGGAAGCGAAGACUGCGGCUGCGGGGGACUGAGGAGACGCAUGGAGUCCAGAGGUCAGGCAGUCUUCACCUCCUUCUGCAGCUGUGUUGGCGAAGCCGGCAGGCUCACCGGCAGCAACCGCAACCCAACGCGCAGGGAGGAGGAGAGUGGCUCAAGGAGAUGUGAUUUUCUUGGAUUUGCUGCAAUUCCUUUAAACCAAAAUCCGUCUUUCGGGCGUUAAAGUAAAUCACCGGUGGCAGUGUAGAGGCCAAAACAGACAAUUCUAGAAGUGGUUUCUGAAAAAUAAAAGUGAAUAUACAUGAGUAAGCAAGCACAGGAAUCUGAAAAACCACAGAUGGAGAAACUGAAUCCUGAAAAGUUUCAACAUCCUUGAGGUCAUACAAAAGACUAAAGCAGCAUAUGGCUUAUCUAGGAGGUAAAAAUGAGAACAGCUUCUACCUGAUUGGUACCCUCUUGAAGAGAAAUAGUUCUGCUCAGUUUGGAAUGAAAUGUAGAUAACUUGUUAAAACUUUUGUAGGAAAAGCGCCUCGUGUGACCUGGAACAAAGACAUUUUAUAAUCAGAUUUAUCAAGCUGUGAAGAGGGAGUUAAAGUGAACGGAAGCAGCAGCGUUCUGUCACCAGGAAAUACUGCUUUAUUCAGAAUUGAGCCCCUACCCAGAAGGCUGUGGAUCAUCUCG